AUUGAACGCUGGCGGCAUGCUUUACACAUGCAAGUCGGACGGCAGCACAGAGAAGCUUGCUUCUUGGGUGGCGAGUGGCGAACGGGUGAGUAACAUAUCGGAACGUACCGAGCAGUAGGGGAUAACUAAUCGAAAGAUUAGCUAAUACCGCAUAUUUUCUGAGGAAGAAAGCAGGGGACCUUUGGGCCUUGCGCUGUUUGAGCGGCCGAUAUCUGAUUAGCUAGUUGGUGGGGUAAAGGCCUACCAAGGCGACGAUCAGUAGCGGGUCUGAGAGGAUGAUCCGCCACACUGGGACUGAGACACGGCCCAGACUCCUACGGGAGGCAGCAGUGGGGAAUUUUGGACAAAGGGCGCAAGCCUGAUCCAGCCAUGCCGCGUGUCUGAAGAAGGCCUUCGGGUUGUAAAGGACUUUUGUCAGGGAAGAAAAGGGCGGGGUUAAUACCCCUGUCUGAUGACGGUACCUGAAGAAUAAGCACCGGCUAACUACGUG
rnacentral:rRNA from 1 species